rnacentral:lncRNA from 1 species
CAGUGUUACUCAAAAUCAUUCAAAAGGAGACAGUGCUAUCUGAAGGACUGAAUAAAUGAGUGAAUUAAUACAAAAUGAUGAAAUUGAUUGAGCAAUAGAGUCUGAGAGCUGAUGGAAGAGUGGUGGUUGCCGCUGAACUUUUCUCCGAUGACCCACUGUGUUGAAGCUGUAAGUACAAAUUUUUUCCCCAGAAACACAAUAUAACAGAAGGAGGAGAAGAAAUGCCAUAGAAAGCAGUACGACAGCAGUAAAUGUGUUAGCCACGAGUGGAAUAGGAAGGACAGUGGAGGAAAUCUUUGAAAAGCAAAACUAAGCAUAAAGGCAAGUAGCCAUCAAAGGAUUAUUGAGAACAUCAACAUUUUACAAUAUAGAAAUGUGGUGCUCACAAUGUUG